rnacentral:miRNA from 1 species
UAGAGGCAGGAGGAUCUCUGUGAGUUCGAGGCCAGCCUGGUCUAUAGAGGGAGUUCCAGGACAGCCAUGAAUACACAGAGAAACAAACCCUGUCUCAAAA